rnacentral:rRNA from 1 species
UACGAAGGGUGCAAACGUUGCUCGGAAUUAUUGGGCGUAAAGCGCACGUAGGCGGCUUGGCAAGUCGGAUGUGAAAUCCCUCGGCUCAACCAAGGAAGUGCAUCCGAAACUGCUGAGCUUGAGUACUUAAGAGGAUCGCGGAAUUCCCGGUGUAGAGGUGAAAUUCGUAGAUAUCGGGAGGAACACCAGUGGCGAAAGAGGCGCACUGGACCACAACUGAGGCUGAGGCGCGAAAGCUAGGGGAGCAAACAGG